UACGUAGGGGGCAAGCGUUGUCCGGAAUCAUUGGGCGUAAAGAGCGUGUAGGCGGUCCGGUAAGUCAGCUGUGAAAGUCAAGGGCUCAACCCUUGAAAGCCGGUUGAUACUGUCGGGCUAGAGUCCGGAAGAGGCGAGUGGAAUUCCCGGUGUAGCGGUGAAAUGCGCAGAUAUCAGGAGGAACACCCAUAGCGAAGGCAGCUUGCUGGGACGUUACUGACGCUAAGGCGCGAAAGCGUGGGGAGCGAACAGG
rnacentral:rRNA from 1 species